UACGUAGGGGGCAAGCGUUGUCCGGAAUCAUUGGGCGUAAAGCGCGUGUAGGCGGCUCGAUAAGUCUGCUGUGAAAGUCCAGGGCUCAACCCUGGGAUGCCGGUGGAUACUGUCGAGCUCGAGUCCGGAAGAGGCGAGUGGAAUUCCGUGGUGUAGCGGUGAAAUGCGCAGAUAUCGAGGAGGAACACCAAGUGGCGAAGGCAGGCUCGCUGGGACGUGACUGACGCUGAGACGCGGAAAGCGUGGGGAGCAAACAGG
rnacentral:rRNA from 1 species